ensembl:lncRNA
CCGAUGACUAUUCAUCGAUAGCGGUCCCUGAGCAGUGAAGGGUAAGAGCAGUGCACUCUGGGAAGGAAAACCAUCCACACCAGAAUUGGAAUAUUAUUCCGCUGCAUGCCUCCAAUAGACUGCACUUUCCUUUCUGAAGUGCGUUAAGCCUCACAGCCUCUCUGAAUUCAAUCAGUCAUCAGGGCUGGUGGCAGACGACAGGGGCAGGCCGGGAUAAUCCAGGACAACUUCAUCAGCCUCGUCUUCUCCUGCAGUGAUGCAUCCUCUCCCCUGGUCAGAAAGCUCAUGGAUUUGAUCCAAAAUAUCUUUAUUUGAGUUCCAAAGAUGAACAACUGGUUUGGAACAGCAAGAGGGGAUUUUGACAGUAGUGAUAUGGAUCGGUUGCCUAUUGCUCAUUUUGAGUGUCCUUGCUUCUCCAUCUGACAGUCUGGAUUAGAGGAACCCUCUCAUGUCAACUCUGGAGGGAGAGACAGUCUUUGGACAUCUUCAGGGAAGCUUCAUUCUGGGACCAACACACAGGCCACCCUGCCCUUGAUCCUGCCCUUGAUGGAUUUCUGUUCCAGCAGGGACAUAUGGAGUCGGUAGGAAUGAGUCACUAAGGUCAGAAUGGCAUCUCUCAUAAACAUACAGCAACAGCAGUUCUGUCCCCUUGCAUUUAAUAAACCUUUUCAGUUUGUAGUCCUAAAACCUGAAAGAGAAUUAUCAUUGUCUUUGAGGAUUUGCACUGGGAAUUUCUAAUGUUUCUGCUUCCUGAUUGCUAUUGUAAUAUCAACCCAGGCUCAUUGAAAAACAUGCCUGGUGCGACAUUUCUGCAGAAUGAUAUGUCAUUGCUUCAUACUGCUUUUAUCACAAUUUCAAAAGGAAAUGUCCAGUCACUGGUGCCAAAAGUGCAUUUAUCUUAAACACAUGAAUGUGAAUCUGGUAACUUUUUAAUUUGUAGUUUGUUGUACAUAUCACUAGAAUUCAGAAAUGAAAUGUCCAGUGAGUGGCCCUAAAAGGUUAAUGCUCUUUUACAUUUGAAAAUAAUGCUCC